rnacentral:lncRNA from 1 species
CGUAUGAUAGCAUUAGCCUCUGAUUUCCAGGGUUAAUAGCUUAUCUUGAACUUGCCCCUUUUCAUAUAUGGUCUGCCACCUCGAACAUAUUCGGCGAUCAUCAUACAACAUUUUCAAAGAAACAUAUGCAUUUCUAUCACUGAAUUUUAGUUCAUAUCAUAUCACAAAUUGCAUUUCAUAUAAUAGUACAUAUAUCAUAUUUGUUAAUAAAUGCUGUGGCCAUUUCCAGCCAACUCUAAUUUGUUAUUUUUUAAAUGAGCAUCUAAGAUAAUAAGAUUUAAAAUCUAAAUUUUAAAUCAGUUAUCGGUUGUGCUCAGGCACCAUGUCCGUUAUACUACUUCGUCAAUUAUUAUUAAUAUUUGGUUUUUAAUUGGAUUUUCGAUCUUCCCAAGUGAUUGAUUUACCCAUAAUCCUCCUUUUACCGUCGACAUUUGGCAAAAGAAGACGCUUUUUAGAGCAAACCCGCCCACCCUCCCCUUAAUUUGUUAGAAUGCAAUUCCUGCGGAAGAUACUGCUGUUUGGUUUUUGUUUGUUUAUUUCAGAUUUGUAUUGUCCACAUAGAUUAUAUCGUCAUACCAUGUUGAAAGCUGUUCAGAUUCUAAUAUAGACACUGUCAAUCAACGAAAAAUAGAUGAUUAUAGAUGAAUACUGGCCGCAAAAGAGUGGAC